rnacentral:rRNA from 1 species
UACGUAGGGAGCGAGCGUUAUCCGGAAUUAUUGGGCGUAAAGGGUGCGUAGACGGCACGAGAAGUCUUAUGUAAAAAUGCUAGGCUCAACCUAGUAAAGCAUAAGAUACUAACGAGCUAGAGUAUGGAAGAGGCAAGUGGAACUCCAUGUGUAGCGGUAAAAUGCGUAAAUAUAUGGAAGAACACCAGUGGCGAAGGCGGCUUGCUGGUCCGAUACUGACGUUGAGGCACGAAAGCGUGGGGAGC